CUUUGUGGAUGAUGAUAAAAGUUAUCCCUGUCUGAUAAAUUUGUGCUGUUCUCUUUUGUUCUGACACUUCA
rnacentral:snoRNA from 1 species